CAGCCGUAAACUAUGCGCGUUAGGUGUAUCGGUGACCACGAGUCACCGAGGUGCCGAAGGGAAACCGUGAAACGUGCCGCCUGGGAAGUACGGUCGCAAGGCUGAAACUUAAAGGAUUGGCGGGGGAGCACCACAACGGGUGGAGCCUGCGGUUUAAUUGGACUCAACGCCGGACAACUCACCGGGACGACAGCAAUAUGUAGGCCAGGCUGAAGACCUUGCCUGAAUCGCUGAGAGGAGGUGCAUGGCGUAGACGUCU
rnacentral:rRNA from 1 species